rnacentral:ncRNA from 2 species
UGGGUUCAUAGCGCCGAUUUGUCCGGAUUGCGGGCGCUCAAAAAAUUCCGCUAAAGAGGGCGCUGCUCACCGGCC